rnacentral:rRNA from 1 species
GCACAAGCAGCGGAGCGUGUGGUUUAAUUCGAUGUUACACGAAGAACCUUACCAGGGUUUGACAUGCAAGUGGUAGGAAUCCGAAAGGUGACCGACCCUCGGGGAGCUUGCACAGGUGCUACAUUGGCUGUCGUCAGCUCGUGUCGUGAGAUGUUCGGUUAAGUCCGCUAACGAGCGCAACCCUCGCUGUGUGUUAUAAGUGUCACACGGUACUGCCGGUCUUAAGCCGGAGGAAGGUGGGAUGACGUCAAGUCCUCAUGGCCUUUAUGUCUAGGGCUACACACGUACUACAAUGGCCGGUACAAAGGGCAGCCACUCAGCGAUGAGGCGCUAAUCCCAUAAAGCCGGUCUCAGUCCGGAUCGCAGUCUGCAACUCGACUGCGUGAAGUUGGAAUCGCUAGUAAUCGUAGAUCAGCAUGCUACGGUGAAUACGUUCCCGGGCCUU